UGAUGUGGAUUAAUUCGAUGCAACGCGAAAACCUUACCUACCCUUGACAUGUCCGGAAUCCCGAAGAGAUUUGGGAGUGCUCGCAAGAGAGCCGGAACACAGGUGCUGCAUGGCUGUCGUCAGCUCGUGUCGUGAGAUGUUGGGUUAAGUCCCGCAACGAGCGCAACCCUUGUCAUUAGUUGCCAUCAUUUGGUUGGGCACUCUAAUGAGACUGCCGGUGACAAACCGGAGGAAGGUGGGGAUGACGUCAAGUCCUCAUGGCCCUUAUGGGUAGGGCUUCACACGUCAUACAAUGGUCGGUACAGAGGGUUGCCAACCCGCGAGGGGGAGCUAAUCUCUUAAAGCCAAUCUCAGUUCGGAUUGUAGGCUGCAACUCGCCUACAUGAAGUCGGAAUCGCUAGUAAUCGCGGAUCAGCAACGCUGCGGUGAAUACGUUCCCGGGCCUU
rnacentral:rRNA from 1 species